rnacentral:rRNA from 1 species
UUGAACGCUGGCGGCAUGCCUUACACAUGCAAGUCGAACGGCAGCAUGAUCUAGCUUGCUAGAUUGAUGGCGAGUGGCGAACGGGUGAGUAAUACAUCGGAACGUGCCCUGUAGUGGGGGAUAACUAGUCGAAAGAUUAGCUAAUACCGCAUACGACCUGAGGGUGAAAGUGGGGGACCGCAAGGCCUCAUGCUAUAGGAGCGGCCGAUGUCUGAUUAGCUAGUUGGUGAGGUAAAGGCUCACCAAGGCGACGAUCAGUAGCUGGUCUGAGAGGACGAUCAGCCACACUGGGACUGAGACACGGCCCAGACUCCUACGGGAGGCAGCAGUGGGGAAUUUUGGACAAUGGGGGCAACCCUGAUCCAGCAAUGCCGCGUGUGUGAAGAAGGCCUUCGGGUUGUAAAGCACUUUUGUCCGGAAAGAAAUCGCACUUACUAAUAUUAGGUGUGGAUGACGGUACCGGAAGAAUAAGGACCGGCUAACUACGUGCCAGCAGCCGCGGUAAUACGUAGGGUCCAAGCGUUAAUCGGAAUUACUGGGCGUAAAGCGUGCGCAGGCGGUUGUGCAAGACCGAUGUGAAAUCCCCGGGCUUAACCUGGGAAUUGCAUUGGUGACUGCACGGCUAGAGUGUGUCAGAGGGGGGGUAGAAUUUCCACGUGUAGCAGUGAAAUGCGUAGAGAUGUGGAGGAAUACCGAUGGCGAAGGCAGCCCCCUGGGAUAACACUGACGCUCAUGCACGAAAGCGUGGGGAGCAAACAGGAUUAGAUACCCCUGGUAGUCCACGCCCUAAACGAUGUCAACUAGUUGUUUGGGGAUUCAUUUCCUUAGUAACGUAGCUAACGCGUGAAGUUGACCGCCUGGGGAGUACGGUCGCAAGAUUAAAACUCAAAGGAAUUGACGGGGACCCGCACAAGCGGUGGAUGAUGUGGAUUAAUUCGAUGCAACGCGAAAAACCUUACCUACCCUUGACAUGCCACUAACGAAGCAGAGAUGCAUUAGGUGCUCGAAAGAGAAAGUGGACGCAGGUGCUGCAUGGCUGUCGUCAGCUCGUGUCGUGAGAUGUUGGGUUAAGUCCCGCAACGAGCGCAACCCUUGUCUCUAGUUGCUACGAAAGGGCACUCUAGAGAGACUGCCGGUGACAAACCGGAGGAAGGUGGGGAUGACGUCAAGUCCUCAUGGCCCUUAUGGGUAGGGCUUCACACGUCAUACAAUGGUGCAUACAGAGGGUUGCCAAGCCGCGAGGUGGAGCUAAUCCCAGAAAAUGCAUCGUAGUCCGGAUCGUAGUCUGCAACUCGACUACGUGAAGCUGGAAUCGCUAGUAAUCGCGGAUCAGCAUGCCGCGGUGAAUACGUUCCCGGGUCUUGUACACACCGC